AUUGAACGCCGGCGGCAGGCUUAACACAUGCAAGUCGAGCGGAGUGAUGGUGCUUGCACUAUCACUUAGCGGCGGACGGGUGAGUAAUGCUUAGGAAUCUGCCUAUUAGUGGGGGACAACAUCUCGAAAGGGAUGCUAAUACCGCAUACGUCCUACGGGAGAAAGCAGGGGAUCACUUGUGACCUUGCGCUAAUAGAUGAGCCUAAGUCGGAUUAGCUAGUUGGUGGGGUAAAGGCCUACCAAGGCGACGAUCUGUAGCGGGUCUGAGAGGAUGAUCCGCCACACUGGGACUGGAACACGGCCCAGACUCCUACGGGAGGCAGCAGUGGGGAAUAUUGGACAAUGGGGGGAACCCUGAUCCAGCCAUGCCGCGUGUGUGAAGAAGGCCUUAUGGUUGUAAAGCACUUUAAGCGAGGAGGAGGCUCUUUUGGUUAAUACCCAAGAUGAGUGGAUGUUACGCGCAGAAUAAGCACCGGCUAACUCUGUGCCAGCCGCCGCGGUAA
rnacentral:rRNA from 1 species